AGAUAGGCAUCUCCCCCACACCACCUUGACUUCCUUCGACACUGCAGCAUCCCAACACGAAGCUGCUUUUGCAAGCGAACUGUCUUGUAAGAACUUCAGCGAGAACGCAAUACUCCCCCCCACCGUCAUCAGCCGUCAGCACCAUCACUUGAGGACGUUGAGGUUCAACCGGACACAGCCCACCUCUCUUGUUCGUCUUCUUCGCUCUUGCUUCCGUCGCUCGUGCCCCUCUUGGCUUCGUUCGGCGUUAUAUCAGCACAGCCGUGCUCCGUGUUUUGUGUCUCUUGUUCACACCUACCGGCGCACAUACAUCGCGAACACGAGCAUGCUCAAGCGUUGAACAGUACCCCCUUCCUCUUCCCUCCUGUUGGUGCUGUCUCCUCCCGCUCCCUCUCUCUUCCUUCCCUCUUUCGCUUCUUCUUUUCUCCUUUGCUGCUGUUCCUGAAUUCGUGCUUCUCCGAGUUGUCCUUGUAUUCUAGUGCCUUCUUUUCCCUCUCCACGCUGCUGUGGGCGUUAUCAUCGUCGCUCCCGUCAGCGAGGGGUGCCUUACGAUCGGCAGCGCAGUGCUAGCGAUCAUCUUUCUUUCUUCGUUCUCGAACCAGCACGAAGGGGGGGGGUUGUAUACCCCGCGCACGCAUAAGGCACGAGAGCGAAGGCGACGACAUAUACGCCCACAUCCAGGUGCAGCGGAUCAGAGGGCUUUUUGCUUUUCUAGUUCACUUUUGUCGUCAUUCUGCAGUGAAGCGACACCUCAGACGACGCGAAAAUAGCGAGUGCGUGUCUGUGUACCUGUGCCUCGCUGUGCAGGCUGCAGCGGCGGCCUUUCGCCUAGGGAAAAGAGCGUGCACUUCACCAGCUACACCAUGUAGCGAAGAAAACACAAGCAUACAACAGCAAGGCAAAGAUAUCGUCAGGGAUGUCGAGAGUCGCUCUCGGCGCGUCGCGCAUUUUGGAGCGGACCGACAGCGUCGACAAGCUCAUCAAACUCAUGGCUGGCGCCUUUACCUUCUUGAGCACGACGAACUCUCUGCGGCAAGAGCAGUAUGCCAAUUCGGCUAGACAUCUCACCGAGGUACGCUCUGUUCUGCGCCUGAGCCGACUUUUCGGCCUCACGUUCAAGAUGCAGUCCGUCGUCGAGGUGUUCGCGGCACAGGGCUUCGCGUGGACGGAGCGAAAGAAGUUCUUGGAGUUCUUCAAGGCCAUCUGUGACUUUCUCUACGCCGCUGGUGACCACGCCCUGCUCGUCGCCCGUGAAGGGCUGCUGGGCAAGGACGUCGACACGGCGCAUCUGCGAAAGUGUACCUUGGCAAUGCAGCUUUUCGGUCAUUUCUUGGGUACAGUGUUCCACCUAUUCGAGCUGCUUGACGCCUCCCGAAAGCUUCAUUAUGACCCACCGGCGGCGAAGUGGGCGUGCAAGGUCGCUACCAUCAGCGCGACGCGUGAGGCGGUUGACACGGUUGUGACAUUGUCCAUCUGCAACUGCGCCGGCAGCGCGUGCCGGCUGAGUCCGCGUGUCAGCGGCACCUUGAGAUGCUUCUCUGGUGCACUUUCCAUUUAUCUGAGCUCUCAGGCGAACACCUAAUGCUCCGCCGCCGUCGCCGCCACACCACCGUGGCCAAUACAAGACGUACAUAUUUCGAGCGCGUCUGUGUGCGUGUCUGUUUUUUAUUCCCCCUUUCUUAGGCGCUUGUAUUGUUCACUUUAUCUUCUCUUCUGUAGGACGUCUCUCUGUUCCAUUUCUUUUCUCGUAUGCGCCCCCUCACUACCGCCUCCCACGCCCUCUCUCUCGCUCUGUGCGUAUGUGUGUGUGUGUGUGUGCGCACUUUCGCGACUUCGACUUGUCCCUCUGUUUCUCCCCCUCUCUCUGCCCCCUCCCCACCUCACCGCCUGUAUAUGCGCUUCCCUUCCUGUCGUUCUGUAUGCUUAGGUGUAUGCGUGGUACACUUCGAGCGCCACGGCGUGGCGCACAUAGCAGCGUUUUCUUUUUCUUUUUUUUCGCUUAGUAGGUGCGCAAACGACGUUCACGACCACUG
rnacentral:misc_RNA from 1 species